CACCUGCAAUGGGGUAUGAUAACGAGUCCUUAGCGUUCAAUCAUAUGUCAAAAUGAAUUGAAUAAUAUUAAAAGAGUUACUGUAGGUAAGGAUUGGUCCGUAAAUAAGGCAUUUAAGGACUCAAUCCUUAUAGACGUGGCAUGUUGUCAUUGGCUCUCUAUCUCUCUCUCGUCUUCUCCGCUAUCUCUCUCUUGUCUUCUCCGCUCUGUUAAUUUUCUCAGGAAAGUGUAGAUUGAAAUUCUGGUAUCUGAAUCAUGAAGUUCGAGCUGGCGUCACCGUUGAAGAAGUCCGUUCCGCUUCCCCUGUUUCUGAUCCUCCUCCUCUCUAUCCUCCCGUGUUAACCACCCCCAUCUCGUUACCCACUCCGGAAGCUAUUGGCUACCCGAGUGCACAGCAGGUCAUGAGCUUCAAAGGUAAGCCCACUGACAAAAGGCAGUUGCUUGAUGAGAUUGAGAUAAGAGAGCUGCGCAUUGAUCACAUCGACCACCGUUGCUGUUGGGGAAGCCGUCCUGCUCGCACAUGGAAGAUCCGUGCUGUCGUCUGCUCGUAACAACGUUUCUUUCCCCGGAUAAUAUGGUUGCUACGAAGCUCUUUGCGGAGAAGUCAUGGCUGGAUCAAGGAGUUGAAUGAGAGCAAUGAUGAUUGCAUCACAAAAUGAUUGGUAGACUUGAAUGGUGUUUUGGUUGUCGUGUUGAGGCUUUUGUUGAUGAUUUAGAUUGUUGUAGUAUGGUAGUUGAAAGCAUGAAUACGUCAGUGGUCCAUAUGAAGGUAAUUUGAAGUACACUCUAUAUGGUGUGUUAGUUCAUUAUGGUAGAGUAUUGAUUCUGGUCACUACUACUGCUUUGUUCGCACUUCAAGUGGCAUAUGGUAUUCCCUUGAUGAUAACAAGGUUAUCCAAGCUAGUGAGAAGACUGUGUUCAACCGGAAAGCGUAUAAGUUGAUUCGAGAGUAAUGCACUUUUUUUCUCAGAUCAAUUUUAAUGUAUUUGAGAUGUGAAUUUUAACCAAAA